rnacentral:tRNA from 1 species
GGCUUCGUAGCUCAGCUGGUAGAGCGCUUGCUGCGUUGAGGCAUGAUGUAUCAGUCACUGGUUCGAAUCCAGCCGAAGCCC